rnacentral:pre_miRNA from 1 species
UAUAUACUCCCUCCGUCCGGAAAUACUUGUCAUCAAAAUGGAUAAAAGGGAUGUAUCUAGAUGUAUUUUAGUUUUAGAUACAUCCCUUUUUAUCCAUUUUGAUGACAAGUAUUUUCGGACGGAGGGAGUAUAGU